rnacentral:rRNA from 1 species
UACGUAGGGGGCAAGCGUUGUCCGGAUUUAUUGGGCGUAAAGAGCGUGUAGGCGGCCAGGUAGGUCCGCUGUGAAAACUCGAGGCUCAACCUCGAGACGUCGGCGGAAACCCUCUGGCUAGAGUCCGGAAGAGGAGAGUGGAAUUCCUGGUGUAGCGGUGAAAUGCGCAGAUAUCAAGAAGAACACCCGUGGCGAAGGCGGUUCUCUGGGACGGUACUGACGCUGAGACGCGAAAGCGUGGGAGCGAACAGG